UACGAAGGGGGCUAGCGUUGCUCGGAAUCACUGGGCGUAAAGCGCACGUAGGCGGAUUGUUAAGUCAGGGGUGAAAUCCUGGAGCUCAACUCCAGAACUGCCUUUGAUACUGGCGAUCUUGAGUCCGGGAGAGGUGAGUGGAACUGCGAGUGUAGAGGUGAAAUUCGUAGAUAUUCGCAAGAACACCAGUGGCGAAGGCGGCUCACUGGCCCGGUAUGACGCUGAGGUGCGAAAGCGUAGGGAGCAAACAGG
rnacentral:rRNA from 1 species